CCCUUAGAUGUUCUGGGCUGCACGCGCGCUACACUGAUGCGCUCAACGAGUUUACGACCUUGCCCGGAAGGGUUGGGUAAUCUUUUUAAAACGCAUCGUGAUGGGGAUAGAUUAUUGCAAUUAUUAAUCUUUAACGAGGAAUUCCUAGUAAGCGCGAGUCAUCAGCUCGUGCUGAUUACGUCCCUGCCCUUUGUACACACCGCCCGUCGCUCCUACCGAUUGAACGGUUUAGUGAGGGCCUCGGAUUGGUCUCGGCCCGCUCUUUACCGGGCGGCGCCGUUGGUCGAGAAGACGCUCGAACUUGAUCGUUUAGAGGAAGUAAAAGUCGUAACA
rnacentral:rRNA from 1 species